CCAGAGAUAGCCGAGGUUGUA
rnacentral:misc_RNA from 1 species